GACGAACGCUGGCGGCGUGCUUAACACAUGCAAGUCGAACGGAAAGGCCCUGCUUUUGUGGGGUGCUCGAGUGGCGAACGGGUGAGUAACACGUGAGUAACCUGUCCUUGACUUUGGGAUAACUUCAGGAAACUGGGGCUAAUACCGGAUAGGAGCUCUUGCUGCAUGGUGGGGGUUGGAAAGUUUCGGUGGUUGGGGAUGGACUAGCGGCUUAUCAGCUUGUUGGGGGGGUAGUGGCUUACCAAGGCUUUGACGGGUAGCCGGCCUGAGCGGGUGACCGGCCACAUUAGGACUGAGAUACGACCCAGACUCGUACGGGAGGCAACGGUGGGGAGUAUUGCACAGUGGGCGGAAGCCUGAUGCAGCAACGCCGCGUGCGGGAUGACGGCCUUCGGGUUGUAUACCACUUUCGCCUGAGACGAAGCGUGAGUGACGGUAAUGGGUAAAGAAGCACCGGCUAACUACGUG
rnacentral:rRNA from 1 species